AGGGCGCACGGUGGAUGCCUUGGCACUAGGAGCCGAUGAAGGACGGGACUAACACCGAUAUGCUUUGGGGAGCUGUACGUAAGCUAUGAUCCAGAGAUUUCCGAAUGGGGGAACCCAACAUCUUUAAUAGGAUGUUACGAUUGUGUGAAUACAUAGCACAUUCGAGGUAGACGCAGAGAACUGAAACAUCUAAGUACCUGCAGGAAGAGAAAGAAAAUUCGAUUCCCUGAGUAGCGGCGAGCGAAACGGGAAAAGCCCAAACCAGCAAGCUUGCUUGUUGGGGUUGUAGGACUCCAAUAUGGUAGUUCUUUCAGAUAGUCGAAUGACUUGGAAAAGUCAGUCAAAGAGGGUAAAAACCCCGUAGACGAAAUGUGGAAGACACCUAGGAGGAUCCUGAGUACGGCGGAACACGAGAAAUUCCGUCGGAAUCCGGGAGGACCAUCUCCCAAGGCUAAAUACUCCCUAGUGACCGAUAGUGAACCAGUACCGUGAGGGAAAGGUGAAAAGCACCCCGGAAGGGGAGUGAAAUAGAACCUGAAACCGUGUGCCUACAACAAGUCAAAGCCCGUUAAUGGGUGAUGGCGUGCCUUUUGUAGAAUGAACCGGCGAGUUACGAUUGCAUGCGAGGUUAAGUUGAAGAGACGGAGCCGCAGCGAAAGCGAGUCUGAAUAGGGCGUUUGAGUAUGUAGUCGUAGACCCGAAACCAUGUGAUCUACCCAUGUCCAGGUUGAAGGUGCGGUAAAACGCACUGGAGGACCGAACCCACGUACGUUGAAAAGUGCGGGGAUGAGGUGUGGGUAGCGGAGAAAUUCCAAACGAACUUGGAGAUAGCUGGUUCUCUCCGAAAUAGCUUUAGGGCUAGCCUCGGAAUUGAGAAUGAUGGAGGUAGAGCACUGUUUGGACUAGGGGCCCAUCUCGGGUUACCGAAUUCAGAUAAACUCCGAAUGCCAUUCAUUCAUAUCCGGGAGUCAGACUGUGAGUGAUAAGAUCCAUAGUCGAAAGGGAAACAGCCCAGACCACCAGCUAAGGUCCCAAAAUAUAUGUUAAGUGGAAAAGGAUGUGGGGUUGCACAGACAACUAGGAUGUUGGCUUAGAAGCAGCCACCAUUUAAAGAGUGCGUAAUAGCUCACUAGUCGAGUGACCCUGCGCCGAAAAUGUACCGGGGCUAAACAUAUUACCGAAGCUGUGGAGUACACCUUUAGGUGUAUUGGUAGGAGAGCGUUCUAAGGGCGUCGAAGGCAGAUCGUGAGGACUGCUGGAGCGCUUAGAAGUGAGAAUGCCGGUAUGAGUAGCGAAAGACAGGUGAGAAUCCUGUCCACCGAAUGACUAAGGUUUCCUGGGGAAGGCUCGUCCGCCCAGGGUUAGUCGGGACCUAAGCCGAGGCCGACAGGCGUAGGCGAUGGAUAACAGGUUGAUAUUCCUGUACCCGUUGUUUUUGUUUGAGCAAUGGAGGGACGCAGGAGGCUAAGGAAUGCAGACGAUCGGAAAUGUCUGUCCAAGCAGUAAGUCUGAAGAGGAGUCAAAUGCUUCUUUUCUUAAGGACAAGCUGUGAUGGGGAGGGAAAUAAUAGUACCGAAGUUCCUGAUGUCACACUGCCGAGAAAAGCUUCUAGUGAGAAAACAGCGGCCCGUACCGCAAACCGACACAGGUAGUCGAGGAGAGAAUCCUAAGGUGAGCGAGAGAACUCUCGUUAAGGAACUCGGCAAAAUGACCCCGUAACUUCGGGAGAAGGGGUGCUGAUCAUACGAUCAGCCGCAGUGAAUAGGCCCAAGCGACUGUUUAUCAAAAACACAGGUCUCUGCAAAAUCGUAAGAUGAAGUAUAGGGGCUGACGCCUGCCCGGUGCUGGAAGGUUAAGAGGAGUGCUUAGCGCAAGCGAAGGUACGAAUUGAAGCCCCAGUAAACGGCGGCCGUAACUAUAACGGUCCUAAGGUAGCGAAAUUCCUUGUCGGGUAAGUUCCGACCCGCACGAAAGGCGUAACGAUUUGGGCACUGUCUCAACGAGAGACUCGGUGAAAUUUUAGUACCUGUGAAGAUGCAGGUUACCCGCGACAGGACGGAAAGACCCCAUGGAGCUUUACUGUAGUUUGAUAUUGAGUGUCUGUACCGCAUGUACAGGAUAGGUAGGAGCCGUAGAAAUCGGAACGCUAGUUUCGAUGGAGGCGCUGGUGGGAUACUACCCCUGCGUUAUGGCCACUCUAACCCGCACCACUAAUCGUGGUGGGAGACAGUGUCAGAUGGGCAGUUUGACUGGGGCGGUCGCCUCCUAAAAGGUAACGGAGGCGCCCAAAGGUUCCCUCAGAAUGGUUGGAAAUCAUUCGAAGAGUGUAAAGGCAGAAGGGAGCUUGACUGCGAGACCAACAAGUCGAGCAGGGACGAAAGUCGGGCUUAGUGAUCCGGUGGUUCCGCAUGGAAGGGCCAUCGCUCAACGGAUAAAAGCUACCCUGGGGAUAACAGGCUUAUCUCCCCCAAGAGUCCACAUCGACGGGGAGGUUUGGCACCUCGAUGUCGGCUCG
rnacentral:rRNA from 1 species